rnacentral:rRNA from 1 species
AUCGAACGCUGGCGGCAGGCCUAACACAUGCAAGUCGAACGGCAGCACAGAAGAGCUUGCUCUUUGGGUGGCGAGUGGCGGACGGGUGAGUAAUGUCUGGGAAACUGCCCGAUGGAGGGGGAUAACUACUGGAAACGGUAGCUAAUACCGCAUAACGUCGCAAGACCAAAGUGGGGGACCUUCGGGCCUCACACCAUCGGAUGUGCCCAGAUGGGAUUAGCUAGUAGGUGGGGUAAUGGCUCACCUAGGCGACGAUCCCUAGCUGGUCUGAGGGGAUGACCAGACACACUGGAACUGGGACACGGUCCAGACUCCUACGGGAGGCAGCAGUGGGGAAUAUUGCACAAUGGGCGAAAGCCUGAUGCAGCCAUGCCGCGUGUAUGAAGAAGGCCUUCGGGUUGUAAAGUACUUUCAGCGGGGAGGAAGGCGGUGAGGUUAAUAACCUUGCCGAUUGACGCUACCCGCAGAAGAAGCACCGGCUAACUCCGUGCCAGCAGCCGCCGUAA